UACGUAGGGUGCAAGCGUUGUCCGGAAUUAUUGGGCGUAAAGAGCUCGUAGGCGGUCUGUCGCGUCUGCUGUGAAAACUCAGGGCUUAACCCUGAGCUUGCAGUGGGUACGGGCAGACUAGAGUGCGGUAGGGGAGACUGGAAUUCCUGGUGUAGCGGUGAAAUGCGUAGAUAUCUGGAGGAACACCGGUGGCGAAGGCGGCAUCCUGGACCACAACUGACGCUGAGGAGCGAAAGCCAGGGGAGCAAAGCGGG
rnacentral:rRNA from 1 species